AAAUUGAAGAGUUUGAUCAUGGCUCAGAUUGAACGCUGGCGGCAGGCCUAACACAUGCAAGUCGAACGGUAACAGGAAGCAGCUUGCUGCUUUGCUGACGAGUGGCGGACGGGUGAGUAAUGUCUGGGAAACUGCCUGAUGGAGGGGGAUAACUACUGGAAACGGUGGCUAAUACCGCAUAACGUCGCAAGACCAAAGAGGGGGACCUUCGGGCCUCUUGCCAUCAGAUGUGCCCAGAUGGGAUUAGCUUGUUGGUGAGGUAACGGCUCACCAAGGCGACGAUCCCUAGCUGGUCUGAGAGGAUGACCAGCCACACUGGAACUGAGACACGGUCCAGACUCCUACGGGAGGCAGCAGUGGGGAAUAUUGCACAAUGGGCGCAAGCCUGAUGCAGCCAUGCCGCGUGUAUGAAGAAGGCCUUCGGGUUGUAAAGUACUUUCAGCGGGGAGGAAGGUGUUGUGGUUAAUAACCGCAGCAAUUGACGUUACCCGCAGAAGAAGCACCGGCUAACUCCGUGCCAGCAGCCGCGGUAAUACGGAGGGUGCAAGCGUUAAUCGGAAUUACUGGGCGUAAAGCGCACGCAGGCGGUCUGUCAAGUCGGAUGUGAAAUCCCCGGGCUCAACCUGGGAACUGCAUUCGAAACUGGCAGGCUUGAGUCUUGUAGAGGGGGGUAGAAUUCCAGGUGUAGCGGUGAAAUGCGUAGAGAUCUGGAGGAAUACCGGUGGCGAAGGCGGCCCCCUGGACAAAGACUGACGCUCAGGUGCGAAAGCGUGGGGAGCAAACAGGAUUAGAUACCCUGGUAGUCCACGCCGUAAACGAUGUCUACUUGGAGGUUGUGCCCUUGAGGCGUGGCUUCCGGAGCUAACGCGUUAAGUAGACCGCCUGGGGAGUACGGCCGCAAGGUUAAAACUCAAAUGAAUUGACGGGGGCCCGCACAAGCGGUGGAGCAUGUGGUUUAAUUCGAUGCAACGCGAAGAACCUUACCUGGUCUUGACAUCCACAGAAGAAUCCAGAGAUGGAUUGGUGCCUUCGGGAACUGUGAGACAGGUGCUGCAUGGCUGUCGUCAGCUCGUGUUGUGAAAUGUUGGGUUAAGUCCCGCAACGAGCGCAACCCUUAUCCUUUGUUGCCAGCGAUUAGGUCGGGAACUCAAAGGAGACUGCCAGUGAUAAACUGGAGGAAGGUGGGGAUGACGUCAAGUCAUCAUGGCCCUUACGACCAGGGCUACACACGUGCUACAAUGGCGCAUACAAAGAGAAGCGACCUCGCGAGAGCAAGCGGACCUCAUAAAGUGCGUCGUAGUCCGGAUUGGAGUCUGCAACUCGACUCCAUGAAGUCGGAAUCGCUAGUAAUCGUGGAUCAGAAUGCCACGGUGAAUACGUUCCCGGGCCUUGUACACACCGCCCGUCACACCAUGGGAGUGGGUUGCAAAAGAAGUAGGUAGCUUAACCUUCGGGAGGGCGCUUACCACUUUGUGAUUCAUGACUGGGGUGAAGUCGUAACAAGGUAACCGUAGGGGAACCUGCGGUUGGAUCACCUCCUUACCUUAAAGAAGC
rnacentral:rRNA from 2 species